rnacentral:lncRNA from 1 species
UAAAUAUACAUACCCUUUUAUUUUUUUACUUACAAUCAGGAAAACAGACGCAGAAAUUUAUAUGAUGUAUGCAACCCCAAAAAGAAAAACAGAGAACAAACAGUUCCAACAAAUUAAUAAACCACACAAUCUCAUAGACAUCUUUUACUUGAAAUGCAUUAUAUUGAUUCAUUAAUGGGGAGCAGUGGUCUCUUUUUCCUUCUCGUCCUCUGUUUUGGAGAGGUAACCAGGAAUUUUCUCCUUGAUUUUCUCCAAAAAUCCCUUCUUCUCUUUUGUCUCUCCUUUUUGUUUUUUGUUUUUUAUCAUUCUGCCAAAAGAUGGGGACUAGUCUUUCUGACUGUUGAAAUUUAAACAAGCUAAUUUAUUUGUGGCUGAGCAUACAAAAUUUUCAAGUCUUCAAGCGGGAAAUAAACUAUGGUCGGCACAACAUUCUUUCAAGGGUAUUACUAGUUUUAAACCCUACACUCUCAAGUGGAUAAACCUGAAAAACAUAGUUUCUAUGCUAAUAGAACCAGAUUCUACAUUGUCUACGCAUAGUGUCAGCAAAAUAAACUGGAGAAAACCUGCAAUUUCAUAUAUAUACCAAUGACAUCGAAAUUUUAAUUUAUUUUUAAUGUUCUCAGGUUGUUUCCCACUGAUUGACAGGCAGAAAUUGAAAAAAAAAAGAGUAGACUCGGAGAAUAAAAAACCAAGAGUAAAAAGGAAGGAACAAAAUCCCUUUGAGAUCUAAGGCCUUUUUGUUUUGUUUUUCUUUUUCUACAACAUUCCCCCCAUUGCUCCCUCAAGAACUAAUUAUUAGUAAUUUAGACAGUCAGAGACUCAAUGAUUAAAGAAUAAUAUAUAUAUAUAAUUCACAGUUUCAUACUCCAUGUAAUUCAACCCAUGUUAAUGAUUUUGCGCCUGGCACUACUUGUUUUAGCAAGUUGCAACCACUGUUUAUGCCUUUAAAAAGCUGAUUUGCUUGAGAGUGCCUGGAACAAGAGGCAAAGAUGUACACUACAAAGGAACCAGGGCUAUUGCUUGUGCACAAAUGAACUAUAAUGUCAAUACUGUAACAUGGUCAAUUUAGAAUAGCGGGCAACCGAGAAGGCAGAUAAGAAUAUUUGACAGCAAUGACUAUAGUUUUGUAAGUAGUUCAAUCAGUAACACAAGUCUUCUCCUCUGUCAUAGCUGACAAAAUAGUAAAUAUCUCUUCAAUAUUAGGUCUAAUGACCUAUAACGCUACUCUGAAUUCGGUGUUCUAACUGCUAGUUUCGAAUUUUUGAAAGAAAAGAAACACAAAUAUAGAUACACAUAUAUUUAUCUAUUUAUCAUCGAGCAUAUGAAAUACGAGUUGUCCCACAAUUUAAAUAUUAUCAUAGAAGCAUGUUCUACUAUAAGCUCAGUAAAAUGGACAUUGAACCACGGUCAAUAUAUACUAACGUUAUAGGUAAUAAUCUCCACAACUUCUGCAUUGGCAAGCACAUGCGUGGGAGAAACAAGAUUACCAUUGACCUGCAAUGAGAAAGUCAAGCAUUAAAUUGGUGGCAUUUGUUGUAGGCUGACACUAGAAUUGGAAAUUAGCAACAUGCAAUACAAAAGUACCUUCGCCGCCACCAUUUUGUUUCCAAUGUCGGUGUGUAUCAUGUAGGCAUAAUCAAUAACAGUAGCCCCUCUAGGCAAAUUUUUAAUCUUCCCAUCGCAAGAAAUAUUUAUCAGAGCAGUAGUCCCACAAAAUUAUGGUAAUAUUUUAGCAGAAAUAAAAGCCCAAAUUAUGGUUUACGAAUUAUCAUACCUCUCCCCUUGGGGUAAAGACGAAGAUACGACUGCAUAAGAGAUCUCUGGUACAAAUUCUCUAGAGCUCAUGUUGCCAACCAACUCCUCUAAAUCCCCGAAAGCUCAGAAAACGGUGUCGUUGGGCUUAGGUUUUUUUGCGGCGCUUUCCCAAAAACGCCGCUAAAGCCCUGAGCAUUAGCGGCGCUUUCUUAUUAACGCCGCUAAAUCCCCGAAAGCUCAGAAAACGGCGUCGUUGGGCUUAGGUUUUUUUGCGGUGCUUUCCGAAAAACGCCGCUAAAUCCCUGAAAGCUCGGGAAACGACGUCCUUGGGCUUAGGUUUUUUGCGGCGCUUUCUCAAAAACGCCGCUAAUGCUUAUUUUCAGCGGCGUUUUCCAUAAUGCGCCGCUAAUGAUCGAUCGUUAGUGGCGUUUUUUAUCCAAACGCCGCUAAAAACGCCGCUAAAAGCCUAUUUUGGUGUAGUGUAACUGAUGCAAUUAUGACCACAACUCUGAAUGUGUCACUGGUGACACCAUUUGCAAUAUCACGUACGACACCUGUCCAUUUGUAAUAUAUUGGAAAAAAGAUUCCAAAUUUGAAUAACAUAUCAUUCAAAAAAUAGACGUACCUAUUGAUAAUUGUGGAAACAGAAUCCAACCAUAGCUCUCUAAUUUUCAAACCUUGGUUUGCCUUAAUCCAAGUAAAAGGAAAGAAAAAAUAGCAUCAUGUCAAGCUCUUAAGAUUACAUCAACAUAUAAUAUAACUACUUACAGCAGAUUGCAGGCAUGAAGGACUGAACUUGACCCCUUCCAAUAAAAUGGCAGCAGGAACUAAUAGCAUAAACGAAAUUGUGGUCAUUAUUGAGAAAAGAUUGAUAUUGUCCAAUGUCUUAUGUUAUUAUUAUUAUAAAACCUGUUAGUAUUACUCUGACUCAGGCAUAUAUAUUCAGUGCCGAUAUGUUUAAUUUAUUUUACCUCAUUUUUAACCAUGAAUUUUUUUACUGAGUGUAGAAGCCCAAAUUUGCCCGGGCCCUACCAGCAAAACAAAUUUCAGCCCAAAUGGCCCAGUUACAUUACAAAAUUAAUUGGACCAGCCCAAAUACAAACCAUAGGCCCAAAUACAGCCCAAACCCAAUGAAAACUAGGGUUUCAGAACCCUAGUUUCCCCCAUGUGCGCCGUACACCUCUGCAGUACCCACUCCUCUGCCACCGCCGUUCGCUACGUCCCAUCCACACCUGCCUCUGACGUCACGCCGCUCGUCCAUCACCCUGCAAACACGCAACACAAGCAGAAGCAGAAGGAGACAAGAUCAAAAUUUUAUUUUUCUUUUGGCUAUAAAGCCGAUUUGUAAGAAACGAAAACGGGGGGAAUCGGUUUUAAAAAACCGAUCUUUGCAUCUAUAAAAAGGUCUCUUUUUC